rnacentral:rRNA from 1 species
UCUUCUAGCUUGCUAGAAGUGGAUUAGUGGCGCACCGUUGAGUAAUGCAUAGGUUAUGUGCCCUUUAGUCUGGGAUAGCCACUGGAAACGGUGAUUAAUACUGGAUACUCCCUACGGGGGAAAGUUUUUCGCUAAAGGAUCAGCCUAUGUCCUAUCAGCUUGUUGGUGAGGUAAUGGCUCACCAAGGCUAUGACGGGUAUCCGGCCUGAGAGGGUGAUCGGACACACUGGAACUGAGACACGGUCCAGACUCCUACGGGAGGCAGCAGUAGGGAAUAUUGCUCAAUGGGGGAAACCCUGAAGCAGCAACGCCGCGUGGAGGAUGAAGGUUUUAGGAUUGUAAACUCCUUUUGUUAGAGAAGAUUAUGACGGUAUCUAACGAAUAAGCACCGGCUAACUCCGUGCCAGCAGCCGCGGUAAUACGGAGGGUGCAAGCGUUACUCGGAAUCACUGGGCGUAAAGAGUGCGUAGGCGGGGUAAUAAGUCAGAUGUGAAAUCCUGUAGCUUAACUACAGAACUGCAUUUGAAACUGUUACUCUGGAGUGUGGGAGAGGUAGGUGGAAUUCUUGGUGUAGGGGUAAAAUCCGUAGAGAUCAAGAGGAAUACUCAUUGCGAAGGCGACCUGCUGGAACAUUACUGACGCUGAUGCACGAAAGCGUGGGGAGCAAACAGGAUUAGAUACCCUGGUAGUCCACGCCCUAAACGAUGGAUGCUAGUUGUUGCCUUGCUUGUCAGGGCAGUAAUGCAGCUAACGCAUUAAGCAUCCCGCCUGGGGAGUACGGUCGCAAGAUUAAAACUCAAAGGAAUAGACGGGGACCCGCACAAGCGGUGGAGCAUGUGGUUUAAU